UUGAACGCUGGCGGCAUGCCUUACACAUGCAAGUCGAACGGUAGAGGGGCAACCCUUGAGAGUGGCGAACGGGUGAGUAAUAUAUCGGAACGUGCCCAGUCGUGGGGGAUAACGCAGCGAAAGCUGCGCUAGUACCGCAUACGAUCUAUGGAUGAAAGCGGGGGAUCGCAAGACCUCGCGCGAUUGGAGCGGCCGAUAUCAGAUUAGGUAGUUGGUGGGGUAAAAGCCCACCAAGCCGACGAUCUGUAGCUG
rnacentral:rRNA from 1 species